CCCCUAGAUGUUCUGGGCCGCACGCGCGCUACACUGAACAGUUCAACAAGUCUUAACCUUGGCCGAUAGGUCUGGGUAAUCUUUGAACGCUGUUCGUGAUUGGGAUAGACCUUUGCAAUUAUGGGUCUUCAACGAGGAAUGCCUAGUAAGCGCGAAUCAUCAGUUCGCGUUGAUUACGUCCCUGCCCUUUGUACACACCGCCCGUCGCUCCUACCGAUUGAAUGGUCCGGUGAAAAUUUCGGAUACCGGCAUUGCUGGCGGUUCGCCGCCGGCGACGCUGGUAGAAGAUCUUUAAACCUUAUCAUUUAGAGGAAGGAGAAGUCGUAACA
rnacentral:rRNA from 1 species